rnacentral:rRNA from 1 species
CUAUACAUGCAAGUCGAGCGAACAGACAAGGAGCUUGCUCCUUUGACGUUAGCGGCGGACGGGUGAGUAACACGUGGGUAACCUACCUAUAAGACUGGGAUAACUUCGGGAAACCGGAGCUAAUACCGGAUAAUAUUUCGAACCGCAUGGUUCGAUAGUGAAAGAUGGUUUUGCUAUCACUUAUAGAUGGACCCGCGCCGUAUUAGCUAGUUGGUAAGGUAACGGCUUACCAAGGCGACGAUACGUAGCCGACCUGAGAGGGUGAUCGGCCACACUGGAACUGAGACACGGUCCAGACUCCUACGGGAGGCAGCAGUAGGGAAUCUUCCGCAAUGGGCGAAAGCCUGACGGAGCAACGCCGCGUGAGUGAUGAAGGUCUUCGGAUCGUAAAACUCUGUUAUUAGGGAAGAACAUACGUGUAAGUAACUAUGCACGUCUUGACGGUACCUAAUCAGAAAGCCACGGCUAACUACGUGCCAGCAGCCGCGGUAAUACGUAGGUGGCAAGCGUUAUCCGGAAUUAUUGGGCGUAAAGCGCGCGUAGGCGGUUUUUUAAGUCUGAUGUGAAAGCCCACGGCUCAACCGUGGAGGGUCAUUGGAAACUGGAAAACUUGAGUGCAGAAGAGGAAAGUGGAAUUCCAUGUGUAGCGGUGAAAUGCGCAGAGAUAUGGAGGAACACCAGUGGCGAAGGCGACUUUCUGGUCUGUAACUGACGCUGAUGUGCGAAAGCGUGGGGAUCAAACAGGAUUAGAUACCCUGGUAGUCCACGCCGUAAACGAUGAGUGCUAAGUGUUAGGGGGGUUUCCGCCCCUUAGUGCUGCAGCUAACGCAUUAAGCACUCCGCCUGGGGAGUACGACCGCAAGGUUGAUCUCAAGGAAUUGACGGGGACCCGCACAAGCGGUGGAGCAUGUGGUUUAAUUCGAAGCAACGCGAGGACCUUACCAAUCUUGACAUCCUUUGACACUCUAGAGAUAGAGCCUUCCCCUUCGGGGGACAAGUGACAGGUGGUGCAUGAUGUCGUCAGCUCGUGUCGUGGAGAUGUUUGGGCUAGUCCCGCAUCGAGCGCAUCCUAGCUAGGUGCAUCAAUAGUGGCACUCUAGUGACUGCGGUGACACCGAAGAAAGGGGGAUGACGUCAU